rnacentral:lncRNA from 1 species
UCUUUAUUCUUUCAUUGCAGAUCUUUCAGCCUCCUGACACAACUCACAGGGAACACUACAGUGAGUUCCAAGCCUUUGACUAGAUCCUCCAGCACGAAGACAGCCCUUUUGUACUCCUCCACACCUAACUCUGUAGGCAGCUACUAUCCUCAUUCCAGGGAGGCCUUGCCCCAUACUUGGGAGAAAAGAAAGCUACACAGAAAGGCCAAGAAGAUUCUCAAGACAACCUUGCUGGGAUUUCUUUUCUAAGUCUAUUACUAUUAUAGAACACCCUUUUCCAAUUAUACUUCUAUAUAGCUACCCAUUCCUCACUCAACCUAAGCUUGAAGAGUUCUCCCUCAACAUCUUUGUAAUAUAAAGCUUUGAUCAAAUAAAAGCAUUACACUCGUCUUUUUUUUUCUUUUUGAGACAGUCCUGCUGUACAGUUCAAGCUGGCCUUGAACUAUGUAGCCCAGGCUGGCCUCGAACUCGCAGAGACCCUCCUGCCUCAGCACUGAGUGCUGGCAUUACAGGCCUGUGCCACCGUGCCCAGAUUGUUUCUUACUUACCUUUUAGGAGUGUGGACCAUGACCCUUAUGAUGGGUGAUAAAAGGUUUUAUAUUGAGUUCCCAAAGCCCUACACAAGUAGUCAUGCAAAUUCAUGUAUAUUAAUCCUCUAGACUACAGUAUAACAAUAGUUUCUGUU